rnacentral:rRNA from 1 species
GAUGAACGCUGGCGGCGUGCCUAAUACAUGCAAGUAGAACGCUGAAGGAGGAGCUUGCUUCUCUGGAUGAGUUGCGAACGGGUGAGUAACGCGUAGGUAACCUGCCUGGUAGCGGGGGAUAACUAUUGGAAACGAUAGCUAAUACCGCAUAAGAGCAGUUGUUGCAUGACAGCUGUUUAAAAGGUGCAAUUGCACCACUACCAGAUGGACCUGCGUUGUAUUAGCUAGUUGGUGAGGUAACGGCUCACCAAGGCGACGAUACAUAGCCGACCUGAGAGGGUGAUCGGCCACACUGGGACUGAGACACGGCCCAGACUCCUACGGGAGGCAGCAGUAGGGAAUCUUCGGCAAUGGGGGCAACCCUGACCGAGCAACGCCGCGUGAGUGAAGAAGGUUUUCGGAUCGUAAAGCUCUGUUGUAAGAGAAGAACGAGUGUGAGAGUGGAAAGUUCACACUGUGACGGUAUCUUACCAGAAAGGGACGGCUAACUACGUGCCAGCAGCCGCGGUAAUACGUAGGUCCCGAGCGUUAUCCGGAUUUAUUGGGCGUAAAGCGAGCGCAGGCGGUUAGAUAAGUCUGAAGUUAAAGGCUGUGGCUUAACCAUAGUACGCUUUGGAAACUGUUUAACUUGAGUGCAAGAGGGGAGAGUGGAAUUCCAUGUGUAGCGGUGAAAUGCGUAGAUAUAUGGAGGAACACCGGUGGCGAAAGCGGCUCUCUGGUCUGUAACUGACGCUGAGGCUCGAAAGCGUGGGGAGCAAACAGG